rnacentral:lncRNA from 1 species
UCGCCGAGCUCAAUCCCAAGCUGCCAUGCACCCAAUUCCAUCUCCUUCCCCAGCUCCGGCGUCCGUGGCACCUAGGCCAUGGCUCUGUGCUCGCCGGUUCGUCCUAAGCGUUGGGCAUGUGCUCCCCUGCCCCUCUGUCCGCCGACGACUCUCCCUUACCAUCUCCUCGCUGGUUCAAGACGCCCAACCUUCUUCUCCCUGCUCGGAUCCCGCUCGUGGAGCUCCCUUCCUCUACCUUGGCCGCCGUUGAGCUCACCCAGCGGCCCUUCCUCUACCUCCCGCAAGCUCCCAGCGAUGCGCCCCAGGUCCCUGCGCACAGCCGCCACCGGCCGAGCUCGCCCCCGGCACUUCGCUCCUCCAUAGUCGCGCCCUGGAGCUCGCCCAGCGUUCUUCCACGCUGAUGGUCGGUGGUCUCCUUACAGCGACACCGAUUCCUGCUCCCGUGGAUGACGGCGGCAGGAGAUGCUUCUCCCCCGCGCUCGCCCAUGGACGCCAGCCGCGCCCCCUUCUCGUCGUGGAGCUUGCCGCGCCCUUCCAGUUCCCUCUGCCCGGCCAUGGAGCUCGCCCCUGGCUUGGAUUCCAGCGCCCCGCUCCCUGUUUGCCCCUGCUCGCCUGGCCACUACGCAGCCCCCUCGGCUUCUCCUCCCCAGCACGCCACGCCCAGCUCCCUGCGCGCGUCCCUCUGUUGGCCGGAGUACCCUGGCCCGACCCCGUGCUGCGCUGGCCCAGCCGUGGUCUCCAGCUCGCCGGCCGCGAGUCCCUACCCAUGGCCGCUGUGCCGAGUUCUUCUCCAGCGUCGUGAAGCCCCUGCUCCUCGCUCGCCUCCAUGGUGUUGCCGUAGAAUUUCCUCGCCGCGCCCUUGCCAAGCUCUGGCGCGCGUAGUCCUGUUUCAAUGAUGGCCGCUCAUUCCUUCUCUGGUGCUCGCCGAUGGCGCGCAGUCGCGUCUUCUCAUUCGACCUGCUCCGGAUCCGAAGCUGGUCGCCCUAUGUGCUCGACUUUGUCUUAUCGCAGAAACCCCAACGUCGUCGACCUUGCCGAUUGUCGUCAUUCGUCGUCGCGUCGUGCGUGCAGCAGCCCCAGAUCUGUGCAGCUCUGCUCUUGUUGUCGACAUCGCUCGCCGUGGCUCAGCUUGCUAGCUUGUCGUUGUUUCGUCGUCUCGUCUUGAUGUCAGUCCCUACGUGGCAUCUCCGACAUAUAUUCACGCCGACAAAAGAAUCCCAAGAAGAUAUAGAGAAGCAAGUCAAUCAUCGCCAUUUAUACGGAGUUCUAGUUAAUAUGGAGAGAUUCCAAGAAUUGCGGAUGGAAGAGAAAGUAAAGCUCCGUUCUAUACUCAUCAACUGUUUGAUCGAAGAUUUUAUUCGGAGGCUGUCGACGUUCUCGCAAGCUUUGAGUCGGACUUGCUUUGGAUGAGAAAUCCCUGAUGUUCGAGAGAGGCCUGUAAGCGCUCUCUUGGGACUCGACCAAAUGACUAAAUUGGAAAACCAUCAUCGCCCUCGCGGAUAUCGAAUCCAUUCGGUCUUGGUAAGCCAAUUUAUUAUUUCGGUUAAUCGAAUUGGAUUAACUAGACUCAUUAGUUGUAAUAAUUCUUGUGUUUAGCAGAUGCGUCGUAUUUGUGUUAGAUGCUUGCUAAAAUAUCUCAGCCCCUCUGGUAAUGUAAUUGUGUGAAAUAAAUGCGUGAUAUGGUGCACCUUAGGUGUAAAAUGCAGGAUAAAUAAAAUAUUUAAUUUAGUGAGAACUUAGAAUAGUAAUUCUAGAAGUUAAUGGGAUGAUUUCUAUUUUUAGUCUGAGUUUAGAUGUUGUGCUCUAGUUAAGAGAGAUAGAGUGCUUGUAAACGGUUCGCUAUGGUUUGCCGUUAAAAUUGGAUCCGAGUAAGCUAGAA